rnacentral:rRNA from 1 species
AACGCGAAGAACCUUACCAGGACUUGACAUGGGCAAGCCGCACGCAGAGAUGUGUGUUCCCGCAAGGGCUUGCCGCACAGGUGCUGCAUGGCUGUCGUCAGCUCGUGUCGUGAGAUGUUGGGUUAAGUCCCGCAACGAGCGCAACCCUCGCCUUCAGUUGCCAUCAGGUUUGGCUGGGCACUCUGAAGGAACUGCCGGUGACAAGCCGGAGGAAGGUGGGGAUGACGUCAAGUCCUCAUGGCCCUUAUGUCCUGGGCUACACACGUGCUACAAUGGCGGUGACAGCGGGAAGCGAGGUCGCGAGGCCCAGCUGAUCCCGAAAAGCCGUCUCAGUUCGGAUUGCAGGCUGCAACUCGCCUGCAUGAAGCUGGAAUCGCUAGUAAUGCUAUAUCAGAACGAUAGCGUGAAUACGUUCCCGGGCCUUGUACACACCGGCUAC